rnacentral:lncRNA from 1 species
UUGGGGGCUGCACUAUGAGGGUGUGAUGUCCGGAUAUGUGGCAGCCAUAUUGUUACCAUGAGGUACAACCCUGCACAUUAAAGUCAAUCAGCUGACGGUGAGAGAUGAGCCUGGAGCCCUGAUGACAUAGGAUCAUGAUACACAGGGAAUUGGAGGGAAGAACAUAACGAAAAAGAAUAAUCGUGAAUGAAAAUUGCUGAAGACGAGUGGCCCUUGUCGUGCGUGGGGCUAGUUAUUGAACUUAACUGGAACCUGUAAUGCUUAUUCUGUAUUGAGCAUUUAAAGAAGUAUCUGGGAUUGAGCCAUCUCACGUCCAUCCAACCACACUCACACAAAUGGGAUGGGUCCACAGCCUUCGGACAUGAUUGCCUAACUCUGGCAAUAGAGAGAUGAAG